rnacentral:rRNA from 1 species
GCCAAACAGCUAGCUUAACCAUAGAAUAAGUGAUUAACAUACAUAAAAACAAAAUGAAUAAAAAUACAAAUUAAAUCAUUCUUCCACCUGAGUACGGGAGACAGAAAAGGUUAAAUUAAGCAAUAACGAAAGUACCGCAAGGGAAAGCUGAAAGAGAAAUGAAACAACCCAUCUAAGCACAAAAAAACAAAGAUUAAACCUUGUACCUUUUGCAUCAUGAUUCAGCCAGUAUUAUCAAGCAAAGAGAACUUUAGUUUGAUCCCCCGAAACCAGGUGAGCUACCCCGGGACAGCCUAUAAAAUUAGGGCUAAUCCGUCUCUGUGGCAAAAGAGUGGAAAGAGCCCCGGGUAGAAGUGACAGACCUACCGAACCUGGUGAUAGCUGGUUGCCUGAGAAGUGGAUAUAAGUUCAGCCUCGCCCGCCCCACGUCAAAAUAAAUAAGACGGUUGAGAAAUCCGCGAGAGUUAGUUUAAGGGGGUACAGCCCCUUAAACAAAGGACACAACCUUAACAGGCGGAUAAAGAUCAUAGUACAUAAAACACACUGUUACAGUAGGCUUAGAGGCAGCCACCUUAAUAGAAAGCGUUAAAGCUCAAACAGAAAAAAGUUUAUUAUACUGAUAUCUUAUCUAACUCCCCUAACAUUAUCAGGCUAAUCCAUGCACACAUGGAAGAAAUAAUGCUAAAAUGAGUAACAAGAAGACUAAAACUUCUCCUAACACAAGUGUAAAUCAGAUCGGAUAAACCACUGACAAAUAACGAACUCAACUCAAGAGAGACCUGUGAAUAACAUAUAACCUCAAGAAAACCCCACAAAAAAUAUCGUUAUCCCCACACCGGUGUGUUUAAUAGGAAAGACUAAAAGAAAAGGAAGGAACUCGGCAAACAUAAGCCUCGCCUGUUUACCAAAAACAUCGCCUCCUGCAAAACAAAGUAUAGGAGGUCCAACCUGCCCAGUGACUACAAGUUUAACGGCCGCGGUAUUUUGACCGUGCAAAGGUAGCGCAAUCACUUGUCUUUUAAAUAAAGACCUGUAUGAAUGGUUAAACGAGGGCUUAACUGUCUCCCUAUUCCAGUCAGUGAAAUUGAUCUUCCCGUGCAGAAGCGGGACUUACAAUACAAGACGAGAAGACCCUUUGGAGCUUAAGGUACAUAAACCAACCACGUCCAUCAAACCAAAAAAGGAUUAAACUUAGUGGGAAAUGGGGUACUACCUUCGGUUGGGGCGACCACGGAGGAUAAAAUAGCCUCCAAGAGGAUUGGGCUAAUAUAACCCAAAACCAAGAGAGACAUCUCUAAGCCACAGAAUAUCUGACCCUGUGAUCCGGACAUAAUACCGAUCAACGAACCAAGUUACCCUAGGGAUAACAGCGCAAUCCUCUCCUAGAGUCCAUAUCGACAAGAGGGUUUACGACCUCGAUGUUGGAUCAGGACAUCCUAAUGGUGCAACCGCUAUUAAGGGUUCGUUUGUUCAACGAUUAAAGUCCUACGUGAUCUGAGUUCAGACCGGAGCAAUCCAGGUCAGUUUCUAUCUGUAACGCUACUUUUCCUAGUACGAAAGGACCGGAAAAGGGGGGCCCAUGCUUAAAGCACGCCCCGCCCCUAAUUAAUGAAAACAAAUUAAUUAAGCAAAGGGGAGCAAUCCCCAGAGCCUAAAUAAGGACAU